rnacentral:lncRNA from 1 species
AGAAAACUAUUCUGCUGGAAAAUUGUUGACCUGCUCUAUUGGCGGCUGAUCAUUCAGCAAUACUGCUGAACGUUGUGCUUUAAAAUAAAUAAAUCAAACAAACCCUAUUCUUCCCAAAUUAGGAGUUUAGUGCUUUUCCUCUUACAUUACAAGCAUAACUUGUCCCUAUUCACCUUCACAUCACUCAUGAUGGCCCAGACCUCUACCUUUUUCCCCUUCAGUCUUGUCCUUUGCAGGUAAAAGCCCUAAACUUAUUUAGCUUUUUCUUCUGCAGAGGCCAGCCCUUACGUCUAACAAUCUCUUUUGCCUUCUCCACACCCUCUGUUGUUCUCCUAUGGUAUUUCUGCAAGGGGCAAUCAGACCUGCAGGCAGGAUUUGAGGUGUGGGGAUUUAGCGCUGGCAUAGCAAUGCUUCUUGUUCUCAGAGCCUUUCUUCACUCUCCCCAUGGCUAUGAGAAUGGUGCCAACACUUGGAGCAGCUGCAAAGGUGCCAGAACAUCUUUCUGUCAAAGCGUUUCCAGGAUGUUCUUCCAUAAGGAUGCUGAAUUUGAUAAGAAUAGUCACUGCUAAGGAACAGCUCAUUUCUGGUUACAUCUUCAGUGAGGUCCUAAGCCGGAGCUUUCUCCACCACACGUUCAGCUGUGUCCAGAGCUCCUGCUAA